rnacentral:lncRNA from 1 species
UUGCAUGGUUGGGCAGAUUCGCUGGCGGAGCCGGCUGGAGUGGCUGGUGGCUUGUGUGUGCUGGUCGGCGACCGUUGUUGGGGUCUUAUUGGCUGAUGGUGGCUGGAGAAAUGUGGGAUGGCGUCGAUUUGGUUGUUGGUAGCGUGACAGCGCUUGGUUGGCAGGAGAACAAAAAGAUGGCGACCGCUCAUCGUUGAUGAAAGCAGUGAAGAUGUUGGAUUUUGAAGGUGAAGGAGAUGGCGGUGCAACGGGGCUAGUUCGGUGAAGGCUGACUCGCUGGUGGUAGUGGUUUUUUAUAGAGAAGGGAGAG